rnacentral:lncRNA from 1 species
AGAGAUCAUGAUGUUAAGUGGAAUAAACUGCACACAGAAAGACAAAUAUCACAUGUUCUCACUUAUUUGUGAUAUCCAAAAAUAAAAAUAAUUGAACUCAUGGACAUAGGAGGUUAUCAGAGGCUGGGGAAAAAGUGGUGAUGCGGGGAGGUGGAGAGGGGGCGGGGUGGGAAGAAUGGAAGGUAAGGAUAGUUAAUGAAUUUCAAAAAGUUAGAAAGAAUGAAUAAAACCUAUUUGAUAGCACAACAGGGUGACUAUAGUCAAUAAUAAGUUAAUUGUACAUUUAAAAAAACUCAGAGUAUGAUUGGAUUAUUUAUAACACAAAGGAUAAAGCACACAAAGGGAUGGACACCCCAUUCUCCAUGACGUGCUUAUUUCACAUUGUAUAUCUGUAUCAAACAUAUCAUGUAUCCCGUAAAUAUAUACACCUACUAUAUAUCCACAAAAAUUAAAACUUUAAAAAAAAAAAAAAAAAAAAAAAAAAAAAAAAAAAAAAGAGGGAGAAAGCGCUCUGAGGCAGGGAGCCAGGUGAUCAGGCUUGGCAGGUCCCACCCCCACAGGGACAAAGAAAAUGGUGAUUCCAAACGCUUGAGGUUGAGAGUUUCACUGCAGGCACAGCUGAAUACAGGAUGGUGCAGCUCCAUGGGGGAGGGGUGUCCGUCACUACCGAGGGAUUCCGCCCCUACUGAGGUACACACCCAUUGCUGAAGCAGCCUGCCUUUGCCAAGACAACCUGCCAUAACAGAGAGACUCCGCCAACAGGGCGGAGCCCACAACAGCAGGGCAGAGCCCAUGGGCAACAGGGCAGAGCCCAGGACAGAAGGGCAGAGCCCAAAGCAGCAGGGCAAAGCCCACAGCAGCAAGGCAGAGACCACAGCAGCAGGGACUGUAGCGGACCUCAGCAGUCAUACAGCAGAGGGGCUAGACUGUUAAAAGGAAAACUAAGUAACAGAAAUACUUCAGCAUCAACAAUCUGGGUGUACACUCAGAGACCCAAUCGAAAAGCCAGCAACUACUCAGAUGACAGGUGGAUAAAUCCACAAAGAUGAGAAGAAACCAGUGCAAAAAGGAGGAAAACACCCGAAACCAAAACACCUUGCCUCCUACAAAGGACCAAAACUCCUCACCAGCAAGGGAACAAAGCUGGAUGGAGAAUGAGUGUGAUGAAAUGAUGGAAUCAGACUUCAGAAGGUGGAUAAUGAGAAACUUCUGUGAGCUAAAAGAACAUGUUCUAAAUCAAUGCAAAGAAACUAAGAACCUUGAAAAAAGAUUUAAAAAAAGAUUUGAGGAAAUGAUAACAAGAAUGGACAACUUAGAGGAAUAUGAAUGAAUUGAAAGAGCUGAAAAACACAACACGAGAACUUCGCGAAGCAUGUACAAGUUUGAACAGCCGAAUUGACCAAGCAGAAGAAAAAAUAUCAGAAGUCGAAGAUCAACUCAAUGAAAUUAAAUGAGAAACCAAGAUUAGAGAAAAAAGUGCAAAAAGGA